rnacentral:rRNA from 1 species
AGCUCCAGUAGCGUAUAUUAAAGUUGUUGCAGUUAAAAAGCUCGUAGUUGGAUUUCUGACGAACCGGAGUGGCCCGUUUCCUUUCUGGGAAUGAGUGCCGCUUUGAGUUUGUCAUCCUUCCAGAGAGCUGCGUCUACCGUUCAUUCGGCCGGACGUAUGCGAUCUGGAUCUAUUACUUUGAAAAAAUUAGAGUGUUUAAAGCAGGCUUAUGCUAUGAAUACAUUAGCAUGGAAUAAUAAUUUAGGACUUUGGUUCUAUUUUGUUGGUUUCUAGGACUGAAGUAAUGAUUGAUAGGGAUAGUUGGGGGUGCUAGUAUUCCGCGGCCAGAGGUGAAAUUCUUGGAUUCGUGGAAGACUAACUACUGCGAAAGCAUUCACCAAGGAUGUCUUCU